rnacentral:tRNA from 1 species
GCGGAAAUAGCUCAGUUGGGAGAGCAUAACCUUGCCAAGGUUAGGGUCGCGAGUUCGAGUCUCGUUUUCCGCU